rnacentral:rRNA from 1 species
UACGGAGGGUGCAAGCGUUGUUCGGAAUUACUGGGCGUAAAGCGGGUGUAGGCGGUCGGGCAAGUCGGAUGUGAAAGCCCUUGGCUCAACUGAGGAAGUGCAUUCGAAACUGCUCGACUUGAGUAUGGGAGAGGAAGGUGGAAUUCUCGGUGUAGCGGUGACAUGCGUAGAUAUCGGGAGGAACACCGGUGGCGAAGGCGGCCUUCUGGCCCAAUACUGACGCUGAGACCCGAAAGCGUGGGGAGCAAACAGG